UACCUACUCCCUCCGUUCCAAAUUACUCGUCGCAAAAAUAGAUGUAUUUAGAACUAAAAUACAUCUAGAUACAUCCAUACCUGCGACAAGUAAUUCGGAACGGACGGAGUAGUUA
rfam:Triticum urartu cultivar G1812 contig595574, whole genome shotgun sequence.